GUGCUCAAAGAUUAUCCAGUUUAUUGAAAUGAGAUCAUUUUCCCGAUUAUAUUACUUUUCUAUGACACUAGGGUUUUUUUCUUUUUUGGUGACUUUUGGCGUUUCCGCCGGUUUACACUUAAUAACCCACUUCUUUCUAGGAUAUGACCGUUUUAUGCGCUCUAGGAGCGCCUGGCUGGCUCAGUCGGAGGAAGAGCGUGGACGUCUUCAUCUUGGGGUCGUGAGUUCCAGCCCCAUGUUGGUAGAGAUUACCUCCGGACCCCACCCCACCAAACCUCAACUAUAUUUCAAAACCACAUCAUUUGGCGCCUGAACGUGGGGCUUCCGAGUCUUUUCAUCCGGACUCUGAGCUUUGGUGCAAACUUGGACAGCCACCUAAGUCACCAGGACGGCUGCCAAUCUUAAAGACUACCAGGACCCUCCCUUGGGGUGCCUUUUAACCCCCUGGAAACAAUUCAGAUUGCAAAACUUAGGAAAGGACUGAGCUUCUGUAACACUGCAUGGCCUCAGUGGAAUCAAUCAGAUCUCCUCUGCAGGAAAUAGGGCGAAUGAACCUCAGGAAUACAUGGCGUCUGCUCCUCUGUUGGAGAUGAUGAGCUCUGCAACUGGGAACCCUUUCUCUGCCUUUGGCAGCCCUUCGCCUCUUCUGCCUCCCCUUCUCCCACCUCCUGUUUCUGCACCACCUUGGGUGUGGGCUUCGUAACUGGCUUCUAUACAUCCUCCAUGCCUCAACCAUGGCUCCUCCCUUCGCUGUCAAGGGGCAAGAAGAGCACCUCCUGGGCCUAACACCGCCUACUCCAGAUCUCCCCACCAGUGUCUCAGGACACACCACUCUUCUAACCAAGGACUCACCACUGGGCACAGAGGCCUAACGGAAUGCAGGCUGAAGAGAAAGGACAGUCACCUUGACAUAUCGUGUAUAAUUUUUAAAGCCACAAUUCAACUCUUGUCCUUGGGCAGGGAGUUUGUGAAGUAUGGUUCUGAACAGCAGAAUAUUGCCUACAGUAGAGGAAAACUGUGAUGCUGGAAGGAGUGAACGCGUUUGAGUAUCUACUAUACGUGGUCUUCUUUGUAACUAGCUGUGUGACCUCUGAAAAGUGACUUGAACUCCUUUGCCUCGGAAUCCCCUUUAUAAAAUGGACAAUAGCGUCCACCUGAAGGAACUGUUAUGAUAUCAACAUUGCAGAGAACUUGGCAAAUGUUCAGUAUACACUAUUGCAAAGGAAAAUAUUCCUAUUCUGACAAAUAUUAAACUUGCACACUACAUCUAUGAAGUCUUGUACAGAUCCCUACCUUCGUUCACCCAACCCCAUUCAUCUUCUCUACGCAUAAGCUGAACUUAUUUGUUCAUUUGUAGAUUUGAAACGAGCUACCGUAGCAACUGGGGGAAAAAAAAA